UCCCUUUGCUUCAUUUCAUUUCUUCUCCAACCCAGAUCUCCUAGGGCAUCCUCGUUGCUCCUAUUGCCGUCGGUGAGGUUCCUAACAAGCUCCCCUCCUUAGAGCACUUUGCCCAAAAGGUGCAGGUAAAGGUGCCUAAGCCUCCAAAGGUUUUCCUAGGUAUUAUCUUCGAUUGUCGUUCCACUCCAUUUCACCAGGAUCUCCGUGAGGGGUCUAUUCCCUUGGUGACGUAUGCGACGAUAGACGAUGGCUUCAGGCUCUGAGAGGAUCUCUCCAUGUGCAUCAAUCGAGGGCAGCGUCGAUACAGGCUAGACUUGGGUUCCCACCAUUUUCUUUAAGCAAGAAACAUGAAAGGUGGGGUGGAUCUUUGCCGUAAUGGGUAGAUCAAGGCGAUAUGAAACAGAUCUGAUCCUUUGCUUGACCUGGAAGGGCCCAUACCAACGAGGUGAGUGCUUCAAGUUGCGUCUGGUGGCCAUGGAAGCUUGCCUGUAGGGCUGCAGGCUCAGGCACUCCCAAUCUCCCUCUGGCAUUUAUGGAAGGAAAUAAAGAGUGUGGACCUAUGAGGAAAUAGAGGAACUAAUUAUGGGUUUGGUGGAAACCAAUCUAAUGGGAACCAAUCAAUGAGAAAAGAACAAAAAUGAGCAGCAUGUAGUGGCCUCCAACUCACGCACAGCAGCUUGUCUCCCAAAAUGCAGAGGAUCAUGCACGGACAAAAGAGGGGAUUAGGGAUUUAUUCAUUUUUCUAGUAUUAUAGGCUGAGGUGAAGUCGGCGGAAGCUCUCUCCAGCUCUCUCGGUUUGAGAUUUUAUUUUUUUAGUUUUUAGUUUUCUUUUGGAGUCGGUCGCAACUCUCUCUCUCUCAGUUUGAGAUUUUAUUUUUCUAGUUUUUAGUUUUCCUUUGGAGUCGGUCGCAACUCUCUCUCUCUCUAUCUCUCUCUCACUUGAGAGUUAUUUUUUUUUCUUUUCUUAGUUUAUUGGUUCAGACGAAACGAGGGGCAGCUUGUUUGAUUUUUUUUUUUUUUUUUUGGGUUUUACGUUUUCGUUCAUCUUAGAUAUUUGGGAUUCAGCAUUUUAGUUUAAGUUUCCGUUCCAGACCUUUCAAAUAUUGGUUUUUGGCUGGUUUUAUUUCAUUUGAGCUUUACAUUUUUGAUUAUUGCAGAUGUUGGGGAUUCAGCAUUUGAUUAUUCUUUUGCAUUUAUUUUCCUACAGCAACUUAAAAUGUUAGGGUUUAUCAUUUUUUAGCAUCUUACUAAUUUAGAGAUGAUAUGCUAGAUUUUGGGUUUGGGAUUCAAUGAGUAACCUAUAACUGUUUUGGGGUGGAUUUUUUUCAAUGUUAUGUGAUUUCAAUGAUUAAUUUGUUGGAUGAAAUUUCAGUUUACAUCUAGAAAUGAUUGAAGUUCUUUAUUCUUGAUUUAAAUUAGUUGUAGAUGUAAAGACACAAUUGAUACUUGAACAAGUAACAAGACUUUGAUGGCUUUCUUUCACUAUUUUACAAUUGUUAUAUAAUCUGUCAAGUAGUUUUGUUAGGUUAAAAAUUAUGGUUCAUUGCUAUAUUAUCCGACCAUGACUUCUAGAAAUGGGAGCACGGUUGAGAGAAAAUGAAAAGAGAAGUAAAUCUAUCGCUAAAUCAGUGGGUAAAAAUUACAUCCCAAGUGUUUGUUUUAUUGUUUCUUACAAUUUUAAUUCAUUUGCUACACACUUUCUCUAAACCUCUUAGUUUUGGUAAUUUUAGAAGCAUAUAUUUACCUUUAUUUUCAGUUUAAUUCGAGUUAGAACUUCCAAAACAGCAACUAAUUAUACUCUUAAUUUAGUCCACACUUCCUUAGUAAAUAGUCUUCAUUUUAGUUCAAGACUUUCUUCUUUUCAAAAUUUCUUGUCACCAUAAACGUCAAUAUUUUAUCUUGUGAUUAUAAGAAGUUUGCUUAAUUCCCAUUGUCCCUGUGAAUUCAAUUUUGGGAUUUACCCUUAUAUUACUUUGACAGCUUCUACACUUGGAAGAUGAAAUUAUAAGCUGAUCAAUACUCAUUUCUCUAUAUCUCUAUCUCGGUAACCUCCUCUCACAACCACUAGUUUGUGUUGUUUCAUCUCCACCAGCGACAGUUUUAGGUAAUUUCUUAUCCUUGAAAAUUGGUUGAUUUACUAAAAUUUGUAGAUAAAGUUGUGAAUUUUGGAGUUGUGAAUUUUUUAGAAUAUACUUAUUGGAUUAUGUUGUUAGGGUGUAUGGAAUAUGAAGUUAAUCAACUAUGGUGGUGGUUAUUAGCUAGAAGUAAUCUAGGUUGUGUCACCGUUAUAUGGGUGAUUAUAGACGUUAUUUAGGUUGGUUUAUUAAGCAAAUAGAAGCAGUUUACUUGCUGUCUAGAAGCUUAAUUACAACCUAGAAAUUGGGAGUUUAUUCAAUUUUGAAGGAUGAUCGUUUAGAAUAAGUCUAAAUUCAUGCUAUUAAGGAUGGUGUGAAAUUUUAGAAUUUAGAGAGAUAAUUGUUAAUGUUGAAGUUGACUGAUUAUAAUAACCUUGAUAUAGGUUCCGAGUGAUGUUGGUGAAAGAAUAUCGUGACUUUUUAGGCAUAAAUCAAGUAAGUGGCUCUUUAAUGGGUUUUUACAAAAAUAAAUAAUUGGUUUUGUUUGGAAUGGUGUACUUUGGUGUUAUAUUUCAAACUUGAGUAAACUUUGGAUUGCACAUACAUAUGCUAUUUUUUGCUUGACUUGUGGGAUUUGUGCAAAUUUUGUGAUGGUUGGAAUGGUUGAAAAAUGUUAUAUGUCUUAUCAAAUUGAAGGUUAAAGGUGAGCAUGCUAUUUAUUCUUGAGUCCAUGAUAUAAAUGUAUUUGUGACAUAUUUGACGUUCAUUGAUAUCUUUAUGAUAUAUUUCAUGCCCAUUGCGGCAUGAUGUCUUCAUGGCUGAUAUCUUUGUGGUAUAUUGGUUAUUUCCCAUUAUUAUGUGGCCUUGAAUAUGAUAUUUGGCUAAAUAUAAAAGUUGAAAUGAAAUUGUAUUGCUCACAUUAUUUUGUUGAGAACUCAUUCACUCUCAUAUAGUGAAGAAAAUUAUUAUCUCUCACACCCCCAUUAAAUUGCUACUUACUGAGCAUGUGGUAGCUCAUCACUUCAUUUCAUAUAUUUUUUAGUAUUUUAGAAAGUUCCUCCAUUUAAAGUGAUAGCUAUUGAACUAAAGAUUUCAAAGGAGACUUGGUUUGAUCACUUGAGGUUUGAAUUUUUGUGGAUGGAGGACUUUGUUACUUGGAGAUUGUUUUGAUUGUACAAAGAGUGUUCUUUUGAUCAUAUUUUAGUUAUUUUAUAGUUUUUGUUGGAGUAUCUGUUUUAUAAAUAUUUGAGAAUUUAAUUACUCUAGCCGAACUUGUAAAUAUGUUGGUGAGGAUCAUUGUAUUAUAAUUGUGAAUACUUUGGAAGUUAUGUAUAUGAUACAUGUUGUAAACAGGGAGAAAGUUACAAUAAUAUAGACGGAACUCUGUCCGUUUAUAGUUUUGGGUUUGGGACGUUACAAAAAAUCACUUCACUCGUGAGCAACAUAAACUACGAAACCCAUUUCCCCUGCGAAUCCCCUACAAAACCCCUUCCUCAGUAUUUUAAAGACUGACUUUCGUCAAACAGUUAGGAGACUUAAACGAGUGUUAUAAAAAACACUAGCCGAAGUAUUCAAACACUGAAUUUCAUAUUUAUGCACUCAAUGUAAACAAGCCAUAAGUAUUCAAAGACCAAAGAGAACAUUUAUGUAUAGAUAUCAGAAAUUGAAAGCAAAUGCAAUGGCAAAGAAACUCAAGAAACUCAGAAAUCGAGUUUCUACAGGUAUGGCCACACAUGCGAGAGUUGGCUACCAUCGUUCGCCUCUUUCAUAUAGUUUCUAGACCAUUCCCAUCGAUAUAGCUUUCUUUUUCCUUUUUUCGCAAUUUCUUUCAGUAAGAUCGAAAUUCCAUGGACAUGUAUAGUUUGUGGACCCUUCCAAUCGGUAUUGCAAUACCCUCGAACUCCUUCAAACUGGUCAAGCUCCAUCGUGGCUCAAUGAAAAGGUCCGUCAAAGAUAAACCAGGUAAAUCAACUCUGUGUUUUUUGCACUUUUGUUGUGUUGGUUGCUUUGGUGGAAGACAAAGGAGGGCAUGGGAGGAAGGGCUGUGAUGAGUUGUUGAUCAGGUGUAGAUAAAUGCACAGUAUGUAAAAUAGAAAACUUACAUGGACGGCUGUUAUUGGAGGGCUAUUUGUUGAAUAAAAAUAGACAGACCGGUUUGAAGGAUUUCUCUUAUCAUUUUUGUGUUGCAUUAUUGUUCUCAUCAUAUCAGUAAGUUGCUCUACCCUUUCAUUAAGUUGAUCUAAGCUUCCAUUAAUGUUUUGCAUGGCUUCUUCCUAGGAAUCCACCUGUUGUUGGAGUGCAUCUUGAGGCUACUUGGAGCAUGUACCCUCUACCGUUAGGAUGAAGGCUCUAGAUACCAAAUGUUAGGACCUUACUAGAAGAUAUGGUGGAUGAAUGUAAUAGAGAAUAAAGAAAUGGCAAUAUUCAAGAACAAUGGACAAGAGGUUGAAGGGAAAAAUAUAUAUGGAAGAAUUUCAUUCA